UGGGGAAUCUUGCGCAAUGCGCGAAAGCGUGACGCAGCAACGCCGCGUGGGGGAAGACGGCCUUCGGGUUGUAAACCCCUUUCAGUUGGGACGAAGCUUCGCCGGUGAAUAGCCGGUUGGAGUGACGGUACCUUCAGAAGAAGCCCCGGCUAACUACGUGCCAGCAGCCGCGGUAAUACGUAGGGGGCAAGCGUUGUCCGGAAUCAUUGGGCGUAAAGAGCGUGUAGGUGGCUCGGUAAGUCCGCUGUGAAAGUCCAGGGCUCAACCCUGGAAUGCCGGUGGAAACUGUCGGGCUAGAGUCCGGAAGAGGCGAGUGGAAUUCCUGGUGUAGCGGUGAAAUGCGCAGAUAUCAGGAGGAACACCAAUGGCGAAGGCAGCUCGCUGGGACGGUACUGACACUGAGACGCGAAAGCGUGGGGAGCAAACA
rnacentral:rRNA from 1 species